rnacentral:rRNA from 1 species
UACAGAGGGGGCAAGCGUUGUUCGGAAUUACUGGGCGUAAAGCGCACGCAGGUGGCUGAGUCAGUCGAUUGUGAAAGCCCUGGGCUUAACCUGGGAAUUGCAGUCGAUACUACUCAGCUAGAGUAUGGGAGAGGGCAGUGGAAUUCCCGGUGUAGCGGUGAAAUGCGUAGAUAUCGGGAGGAACAUCAGUGGCGAAGGCGGCUGCCUGGCCCAAUACUGACACUCAGGUGCGACAGCGUGGGGAGCAAACAGGAUAGAAACC